UACAGAGGGUGCAAGCGUUGUUCGGAAUCAUUGGGCGUAAAGGGCGCGUAGGCGGUUUUGCAAGUCAGAUGUGAAAGCCCACAGCUUAACUGUGGAAGUGCAUUUGAAACUGCAAGACUAGAAUCUCGGAGAGGGUGGUGGAAUUCCCAGUGUAGAGGUGAAAUUCGUAGAUAUUGGGAGGAACACCGGUGGCGAAGGCGACCACCUGGCUGAAGAUUGACGCUGAGGCGCGAAAGCGUGGGGAUCAAAC
rnacentral:rRNA from 1 species